GCAUAUCAAUAAGCGGAGGAAAAGAAACCAACAGGGAUUGCCCUAGUAACGGCGAGUGAAGCGGCAACAGCUCAAAUUUGAAAUCUGGCCCUCGGGUCCGAGUUGUAAUUUGUAGAGGAUGCUUUUGGUGCGGCGCCUUCCGAGUUCCCUGGAACGGGACGCCAUAGAGGGUGAGAGCCCCGUCUGGUUGGACGCCAAUCCUCUGUAAAGCUCCUUCGACGAGUCGAGUAGUUUGGGAAUGCUGCUCUAAAUGGGAGGUAUAUGUCUUCUAAAGCUAAAUACCGGCCAGAGACCGAUAGCGCACAAGUAGAGUGAUCGAAAGAUGAAAAGCACUUUGAAAAGAGAGUUAAAAAGUACGUGAAAUUGUUGAAAGGGAAGCGCUUGUGACCAGACUUGGGCUUGGUUGAUCAUCCAGGGUUCUCCCCGGUGCACUCUUCCAGCCCAGGCCAGCAUCAGUUCGCCGCGGGGGACAAAAGCUUCGGGAAUGUGGCUCCCUCGGGAGUGUUAUAGCCCGCUGCGCAAUACCCUGCGGCGGACUGAGGUUCGCGCUCCGCAAGGAUGCUGGCGUAAUGGUCACCAGUGACCCGUCUUGAAACACGGACCAAGGAGUCGUCUUCGUAUGCGAGUGUUCGGGUGUUAAACCCCUACGCGGAAUGAAAGUGAACGCAGGUGAGAGCUUCGGCGCAUCACCGACCGAUCCUGAUGUUCUCGGAUGGAUUUGAGUAAGAGCAUACGGGGCCGGACCCGAAAGAAGGUGAACUAUGCCUGUAUAGGGUGAAGCCAGAGGAAACUCUGGUGGAGGCUCGCAGCGGUUCUGACGUGCAAAUCGAUCGUCAAAUAUGGGCAUGGGGGCGAAAGACUAAUCGAACCUUCUAGUAGCUGGUUUCCGCCGA
rnacentral:rRNA from 1 species